rnacentral:rRNA from 1 species
GGAAUAUUGGGCAAUGGGAGGAAUCCUGACCCAGCGACGCCGCGUGAACGAAGACGGCCCUCGGGUUGUAAAGUUCUUUUAUGUGGGAAGAAGGAAGUGACGGUACCACAUGAAUAAGCCCCGGCUAACUACGUGCCAGCAGCCGCGGUAAUACGUAGGGGGCGAGCGUUGUCCGGAAUUACUGGGCGUAAAGGGCACGCAGGCUGUGAUUCAAGUCAGCUGUAAAAGGAUGCGGCUUAACCGUGUUUAGCAGUUGAAACUGGAUGACUGGAGUGCUGGAGAGGCAAGUGGAAUUCCCAGUGUAGCGGUGAAAUGCGUAGAUAUUGGGAAGAACAUCGGUGGCGAAGGCGACUUGCUGGCCAGUAACUGACGCUGAGGUGCGAAAGCCAGGGUAGCAAACGGGAUUAGAUACCCCGGUAGUCCUGGCUGUAAACGAUGAAUGCUAGGUGUGCGAGCAGAGAUGUUGGUGUGCCGCAGUUAACGCGAUAAGCAUUCCGCCUGGGGAGUACGGUCGCAAGAUUGAAACUCAAAGGAAUUGACGGGGGCCCGCACAAGCGGUGGAGCACGUGGUUUAAUUCGAUGCAAACCGAAGAAC